rnacentral:rRNA from 1 species
UACGGAGGGUCCAAGCGUUAUUCGGAAUUACUGGGCGUAAAGCGCAUGUAGGUGGUUUCUUAAGUCAGAUGUGAAAGCCCUGGACUCAAUCCAGGAAGUGCAUUUGAUACUGGGAGACUAGAGUGCAGGAGAGGAAAGCGGAAUUCCAGGUGUAGAGGUGAAAUUCGCAGAUAUCUGGAGGAACAACAGAGGCGAAGGCGGCUUUCUGGACUGCAACUGACACUGAGAUGCGAAAGCGUGGGGAGCAAACAGG